UUUUAACUAACGCUAAAAUGUAAAAAUAAAUAAACUAGAUAUCAUAUAAAUCGAAUAACAUUUCACUACCAUUUACUUCUAAAAUAAUAACAAUAACAACAACAG